AAGGAUCAUUCACAAUGAGUGUUUAAUGGCACUUUCAAUCCAUUACCCACCUUGUGUGCAUUGUCGGGAGGACCCUCUCAAUCUCCCUCCUUUGGAGGGGUGAGGACGGGGGGUUCUCUUUUUACAUUUACUCUUUUCAGUAUCAGUCUACUUUUUGAGUAUAAAAAACUCGAAUACAACUUUCAACAACGGAUCUCUUGGCUCUC
rnacentral:misc_RNA from 1 species